GCCAGGCGUGGUGGCUCACGCCUGUAAUCCCAGCACUUUGGGAGGCUGAGGCGGGAGGAUCACCUGAGGUCAGGAGUUCCAGACCAGCCUGACCAACAUGGAGAAACCCUGCCUCUA
rnacentral:SRP_RNA from 1 species